rnacentral:rRNA from 1 species
GACGGAGGGUGCAAGCGUUGUUCGGAAUUACUGGGCGUAAAGCGUACGUAGGCGGCGGAUUAAGUCGAAUGUUAAAGCCUGGGGCUCAACCCCAGAGAUGCAUUCGAUACUGGUCUGCUAGAGGGUGAUAGAGGAAAGCGGAAUUCCCAGUGUAGCGGUGAAAUGCGUAGAUAUCUGGAGGAACACCGGUGGCGAAGGCGGCAUCCUGGACCGGCAUUGACGCUGAGGCGCGAAAGCCAGGGGAGCAAACGGG